UACGUAGGUGGCAAGCGUUGUCCGGAUUUACUGGGCGUAAAGAGCGCGCAGGCGGUCGUUCAAGUCGCGUGUGAAAGCCCCCGGCUCAACUGGGGAGGGUCACGCGAUACUGAUCGACUCGAAGGCAGGAGAGGGAAGUGGAAUUCCCGGUGUAGUGGUGAAAUGCGUAGAUAUCGGGAGGAACACCAGUGGCGAAGGCGACUCCCUGGCCUGUUCUUGACGCUGAGGCGCGAUAGCUAGGGGAGCAAACGGG
rnacentral:rRNA from 1 species